GUGGUAUAUAGCUAUGACGCGGGCUGGACCUCUCGGGGUUACAGCCUUGCUGAAUUAUUCACCCUUGUCUUUUGCGUACUUCUUGUUUCCUUGGUGGGUUCGCCCACCACUAGGACAAACAUAAACCUUUUGUAAUUGCAAUCAGCGUCAGUAACAAAUUAAUAAUUACAACUUUCAACAACGGAUCUCUUGGUUCUGGCAUCGAUGAAGAACGCAGCGAAAUGCGAUAAGUAGUGUGAAUUGCAGAAUUCAGUGAAUCAUCGAAUCUUUGAACGCACAUUGCGCCCUUUGGUAUUCCAAAGGGCAUGCCUGUUCGAGCGUCAUUUGUACCCUCAAGCUUUGCUUGGUGUUGGGCGUCUUGUCUCUAGCUUUGCUGGAGACUCGCCUUAAAGUAAUUGGCAGCCGGCCUACUGGUUUCGGAGCGCAGCACAAGUCGCACUCUCUAUCAGCAAAGGUCUAGCAUCCAUUAAGCCUUUUUUUCAACUUUUGACCUCGGAUCAGGUAGGGAUACCCGCUGAACUUAAGCAUAUCAU
rnacentral:rRNA from 1 species